rnacentral:rRNA from 1 species
GAUGAACGCUGGCGGCGCGCCUAACACAUGCAAGUCGAACGGCACCUAUCUUCGGAUAGAAGCGAGUGGCGAACGGCUGAGUAACACGUGGAGAACCUGCCCCCUCCCCCGGGAUAGCCGCCCGAAAGGACGGGUAAUACCGGAUACCCCCGGGCGCCGCAUGGCGCCCGGGCUAAAGCCCCGACGGGAGGGGAUGGCUCCGCGGCCCAUCAGGUAGACGGCGGGGUGACGGCCCACCGUGCCGACAACGGGUAGCCGGGUUGAGAGACCGACCGGCCAGAUUGGGACUGAGACACGGCCCAGACUCCUACGGGAGGCAGCAGUGGGGAAUCUUGCGCAAUGGGGGGAACCCUGACGCAGCGACGCCGCGUGCGGGACGGAGGCCUUCGGGUCGUAAACCGCUUUCAGCAGGGAAGAGUCAAGACUGUACCUGCAGAAGAAGCC